rnacentral:rRNA from 1 species
UACGUAGGGGGCAAGCGUUAUCCGGAUUUACUGGGUGUAAAGGGAGCGUAGACGGUAUGGCAAGUCUGAAGUGAAAUCAUGGAGCUCAACUCCGUAAUUGCUUUGGAAACUGUCAAACUCGAGUGCCGGAGGGGCAGGCGGAAUUCCUGGUGUAGCGGUGAAAUGCGUAGAUAUCAGGAAGAACACCGGUGGCGAAGGCGGCCUGCUGGACGGUAACUGACGUUGAGGCUCGAAAGCGUGGGGAG